rnacentral:rRNA from 1 species
GAUGAACGCUGGCGGCGUGCCUAAUACAUGCAAGUCGAGCGAACAGACGAGGAGCUUGCUCCUCUGACGUUAGCGGCGGACGGGUGAGUAACACGUGGAUAACCUACCUAUAAGACUGGGAUAACUUCGGGAAACCGGAGCUAAUACCGGAUAAUAUAUUGAACCGCAUGGUUCAAUAGUGAAAGACGGUUUUGCUGUCACUAAUAGAUGGAUCCGCGCCGCAUUAGCUAGUUGGUAAGGUAACGGCUUACCAAGGCAACGAUGCGUAGCCGACCUGAGAGGGGGAUCGGCCACACGGGAACUGGGCCCCGGUCCAGACUCCUACGGGAGGCAGCAGUAGGGAAUCUUCCGCAAUGGGCGAAAGCCUGACGGAGCAACGCCGCGUGAGUGAUGAAGGUCUUCGGAUCGUAAAACUCUGUUAUUAGGGAAGAACAAAUGUGUAAGUAACUAUGCACGUCUUGACGGUACCUAAUCAGAAAGCCACGGCUAACUACGUG